rnacentral:rRNA from 1 species
CAGUCGCCGCGGUAAUACGAAGGGGGCUAGCGUUGCUCGGAAUCACUGGGCGUAAAGGGUGCGUAGGCGGGUCUUUAAGUCAGGGGUGAAAUCCUGGAGCUCAACUCCAGAACUGCCUUUGAUACUGAAGAUCUUGAGUAUGGGAGAGGUGAGUGGAACUGCGAGUGUAGAGGUGAAAUUCGUAGAUAUUCGCAAGAACACCAGUAGCGAAGGCGGCUCACUGGCCCAUAACUGACGCUGAGGCACGAAAGCGUGGGGAGCAAACAGGAUUAGAUACCCCCGUAGUCCCUGUCUCUUAUAC